rnacentral:rRNA from 1 species
ACGCUCGACACCUACGGAGGCAGCAGUGGGGAAUAUUGCACAAUGGGGGAAACCCUGAUGCAGCGACGCCGCGUGAGCGAAGAAGUAUUUCGGUAUGUAAAGCUCUAUCAGCAGGGAAGAAACUGACGGUACCUGACUAAGAAGCACCGGCUAAAUACGUGCCUGCAGCCGCGGUAAUCUGAGCGGGCUGGCAAGGC